rnacentral:rRNA from 1 species
AAUAUUGCGCAAUGGGGGGAACCCUGACGCAGCAACGCCGCGUGAGCGAAGAAGGNCUNNGGGUCNUNAAGCUCUGUCAUUAGNNNNNAAAAAAAUGACGGUACCUAAUGAGGAAGCCCCGGCUAACUACGUGCCAGCAGCCGCGGUAAUACGUAGGGGGCAAGCGUUGUCCGGAAUUACUGGGCGUAAAGGGUGCGUAGGCGGCCUGAUAAGUCAGAUGUGAAAUACCAGGGCUCAACCUUGGGGGUGCAUUUGAAACUGUUAGGCUUGAGUGCAGGAGAGGAAAGUGGAAUUCCUAGUGUAGCGGUGAAAUGCGUAGAGAUUAGGAGGAACACCAGUGGCGAAGGCGACUUUCUGGACUGUAACUGACGCUGAGGCACGAAAGCGUGGGGAGCGAAC